rnacentral:tRNA from 1 species
GGGGGUGUAGCUCAACAGGCAGAGCGCCGGUCUCCAAAACCGAAGGUACGCGGUUCGAGUCCGUGCACCCCCGCCA